ACUUUUUUUAGGGGGAGCAUGCAGGGAUGAGUAUAAGGUGCUGACAGAGACUUGUAAGGGGGAGAAGUUUGCAAAAGUACUCAGCAGGGACUUGCUUUUGGGUGAGCAGACAGGGAGAAGUUUGGAGUUUGCAGUAACCCGCUGGGACAAGAAUAUGUACGGUUGGUGUUAGGGAUGCAGUCAGAGAUGGGGAGAAGACAAGCAUGUAGUUUUAGGGGGAAUGCAUGUGGGAGACUCUGGAUGUGCAGAGGUGUAGUUUCAAGGAAUAUGAGCAAAUGGUGUAGAGUAAAGGGGAUGUGUUUGUAUUUGUAGGGAGAAUCGUGGAAAGGUGAUUGGAGUAACACACAAGGGGCCUGUUGUAGGGAAAGGAUGCAAAGUAAUUAGUGAAAAGAAAAGGAGUACUUGUGGCACCUUAGAGCCUAACAAAUUUAUUAGAGCAUAAGCUUUGAGCAGCCUAAUCAAUGACUGUUAGCCUAUAUCUCCCAUCAGCCAGGGCGGGCCCCAGGGCACCAUGGGAGACAUAGUAUCCGCUGGCCUCUAGCUGCCAUGGGUCAUAGCAGAGCCCAGCCGGCCGGGAUUUUCCCUUUCCGGGGCGGGGCCCGUGCGAGGCCGCCCGCGGGAGACGGUCGGAGGCAGCGGGCGGUGCGGGAAGGAGCAGUUAGGGGCUGGGAGACUGAAGACCUGAGAUGCCGUGUUGAGAGUCCCUGAUCUGGAUCCUAGUGCAGAAGUCUGGCCCAGCAAUCCAAGCUGGAGAAAGCUGACUUGCUGGAGAUCACAGUGUAGCACAUGGAGAGCCUGCAACAGAGCAACAUCCUGGGUAAUGACUCCCUGGCACCCUGUAGUCUCCCAUGGACUGGUCUGCUCUGGUGUGGAUGAGACAGGGAAAAAGAAGCUCACACCCCAGCACACGUUUCGGCAGUGAUGGCUCUUGGGUUAUUUGCUUUGCUUGCAGAGGACUUGUCCAGGCCAGUGGAGCAGCCCAGCCAGAUCAGGAGCUGGAAGAAUAGGACCUGAGCAGCCCGGACAUCCAACUUGACAGGAGCUGAGGAGCCCAAGAGUUCUGUCUGGUGAUGGAGGAGGAACAGCUGUGUAUUUUGCUGAAAUGAUGUCUCUACCCAGUGUCUGAGUAACAGGGUGCCUCCCUGACAGCAGAGAGACGCUUCUUGUUUGCAUGGGUCCUGGGGAGGUUGGAGCCCUGCAUUUGGCUGUUAAUGGGCAAGGAGUAUCACCCUGCUCCUCAAGACUGAAUGUGAAGGAGGAAAACCUACCUGCAACUAGGGACACUCUGUUAUUCCUCGUCUGUCCUUCCAAGUCCCUGGGUGCGAGUCACUGGACAUACUAUCAAGUACAGCCAAAUAAAAUCAUCUUCUGGUCCUUCAGAGGACCUGAGCAUCCUGGCCGGGCUUGGGAUGGGAUGGGGGUAGGGAGAGACCUGCAGGACUGUAGUCCCUUACCAGAGCUGAUCACUUCAAGUGCUGGCUAGGCUGGAGGGGACAUGAGUAGGGGGCUCCAGGAAGCAAAAGCCAGGUGAUCUGACUGCCCGUAUCUGUCCUCCACAUGCCAGUGCUGGCCUACGUUCUCUUUUCAGUUUCUAAUGAUAUUGGGCAGAUGAGAGAAUGACCAACCUGGAGGAGAGACCAGGAGAAGGAGCAGCCACCGUGAGCCCAUUCAGCGGGAUGAAAACCAGACAGCGAGCUGUGGAGUAGGUCCAAAUGGAAAUUUGCUUAAGCUAAGUAUUGAAAGAGUGUUGAAAACACUUUUGUCUAUGGAGAGAAACAUGUUAUGUUAGCAUAGGGUGGGGUCUAUGAGAAAAAAGUCCUUGAACCUAAGUGGGGCAUGUGAAAGUUUGGGGGAGCCCUGGCUUCCCACUCAGAGAGUUGUCAUGGCCUGGGAAGGAAAAGUAUUAGUUUUCCUGAAUUAUGGUUCUCUUCCAGGAGGGCAAAUUGCCUGCAAUCAGAGAUGCUCAGGCCUCAACUCUCUGCCUUCCACAUCACUGGGUGUGAAUAACUGGUCACUACACUCUGGUCCUUGUCUGCACUGACUCUAGCUUCCUUCAGAGGACCUGGGCUUCCUGAGGAAUUUUCCAGGAGCUCUAGCCGGAGGAGAAAUGGCAGAGGUGGACCUGAGCAGCUUGGGCAUCUUUCCAAGGAGACAAACAGGCCACAUGUUUCUGCCUUCUGCAUAACUGGCUUACGAAGGAAAAAAAAGUCAAGCCUCAGAGUUUACUGCCCUCAUCCGAUGGAAAGUGAGUGAGAGCAGCGAGGCUGUGACCAUUGUUGAUGCCAGGCAAGAGCCCUCCAUCUGGGAGCCGAGCAAUCGCCAGUCUCGCUAAUCUCGCAGAGGAAUUGUCCAGGAGCCCUAGCCAGAGGAGAAAUGGCCGAGGUUUACCUAAGCAGCUUGGACAUCCUUCUAAGCAGACAUGAAGAAUCGUCAGCUUUCUGUCUCCCGCAUAACUGGCUGUGAGUAAGCGUACAAACCGUUUACUCCCCUCUUCGGAUGGAAAACGAGUGAGAGCAGUGAGCCAGCGAGCAUUGUUGAUGCAAGCCAGGAGCCGUCCAGUUGGCAGUGGAGCAGUCGCUAACGUCAGUGAGAUAAGUGUUGGGUUUAGUUAAGGCUUUGCUCACGGCCCGCCUAGCUCCAUGUAGGGACUCCCCAUUAGCUGGAGCGGGGUUUGUAAGAAAUGGUUCCUGACUAGCUGUGGUUAUGAGAGAGACAAGGUCCCCAUUUUCAGGGGCUACUCAUUUCUUUGGCCAGGAACGGUGUCUCCUUUGCAGGAGAAGGUUACAUCUAGGAGGAUGACUCCAGCUGGUGAGUUGCUUGCCUUCCUCCCAUGUUUUUCUCUCUCCUCUAGUGUGUUCGCCAACUGUCUCAGUCUCUCUCUCCUCUCCUCUCCUGGUGCCGUCUCCCUUUGUAGGACACGGGUAGGUGUGCAUUCCCACAGGUGAGGUCUCGGGAGCCAUGGAGAAGUCGGAGCGGACGAAAAUGAUGCAGGCUGUAGAAAGACUGCUGAAAGGAACUGAGAAGGUGGAAGUCCAGACUAAGACAGGAGUCUAGUCUGUAAAGAGAAACAACGGGAAGUCUAAACUACAGAAACUCUUCAAGUUGCUGAAAGAAAUUUAGGAUGAGAAAUUAGUUCUUGAAUCCAGUCUCUUUAUGAUUUAAGGCUUAGUAUGCACGUGUAUUUGUAUUUGCUUAGUAAUCUGCCUUCUUCUGUUUGCUAUCCCUUAUGAUCACUUAAAAUCUACCUUUUUAUAGU